GUCACCCGCUGCUGAUCUCAUCACCUGAGUGAGUCAGAUUGGCCAAACUAGGAGAACUGAAAGUGUCACUAUGGUCCCUUCUGUCACCUUGACACUCAUUUCAGCACAGACUAUCCAUGUAUAGACUCAGGUGACUGCAGAUCUUGUGAAGUUGAUUACCAAUGCUAACCAUCACCCUCCAGCUGGGUAUACAGCAAACACAGCUCAGAACGAGUGGCCUUGAGGAUGAGUGGGAGGAGGCCAGCAGGGACAGAAUAAAGGGAAUUCGUUGGCCCACAGCUGAAGAGGGGUCAGCCUGAGGUCCCUUCUUGCACUCCAUACUGUUAGGAAGUGGCCUCGUUACCCUCCCAGAGCACAGACAGAAUCUGACUGCUCCCUCAAAAUGAAAAAAAGAGUCCCUGCACGGGAGGCCACCAGAUUGGAUCAGAGUGACUCGAGAGACACAGAUGAACAUUUUGAACUAAAAAUGGCUGGCUGAGGACAAAUUUGAUUUGUACUUAGACCUCCUGAGUCAAGUGUGGAUGAAGCUCUGAUCUCUUUCUUCCCUUCCGUUUGGGGUCAUCUGAGGACACUCAUUUCUCACACAGGGACCUACUCAGGACUGCCAGCAGGACAGAGGAAAUUAGAAGUACCCAUACUCCUGGAAUUCCAGCGCCUGGAAGGUGGAGGCAGGAGGAUGGGAAGUUAGGACCACCCUUGGCUACAUCACAAAUCUGAGAUUAGCUUGAGCUGCAGCAGACCUUGCUUCAAAUCAAGCCGAUCAAUCAAUCAAUCAAGCAAGCAAGCAAGCAAGUAAGCAAUCGAUGGAUCUUAACCUAAUGUUUUUCGACUUUGUGUUUUGUUGAAGAAGCGCCUCCGUGUUCGAACAGCAUAAACACACUUUCUUACUCUCCUUCUAAACAGUUAAAGUUUUAGUUGUUCUUUUUUAAGACAUUUAUUUGUUUUAUGUCAGUACACUAUCGCUGUCUUCAGACACACCAGAAGAGGGCAUCAGAUCCCAUUACAGAUGGUUGUGAGCCACCAUGUGGGUGCUGGGAAUUGAACUCAGGACCUCUGGGAGAGCAAUCAGUGCUCUUAACCACUGAGCCACCUCUCCAGCUGUAGAGUUCUACCUCCCUCUCCCUCUCCCUCUCCUUCUCCCUCUCUCCCUUCUUUUCUUUUUUAUUUGUUUUUAGGGACAGAGUCUUGUGUAGCCCCAAUACCUCUCAAACUCCUGAUGCCUCUGCCUCCAUGCUAGUAUUGUAAGCAUGUAUGUAUAAGCAUGUAUGUAUAAGCAUGUAUGUAUAAGC